ACGGCUCAGUAACACGUGGACAACCUGCCCAAAGGUCCGGGAUAACCCCGGGAAACUGGGGAUAAUACCGGAUAAAUCAUGAGUACUGGAAGGUCUUGUGGUUGAAACUUCCGGGGCCUUUGGACGGGUCUGCGGCUGAUUAGGUUGUUGCCGGUGUAACGUACCGUCAAGCCUGUAAUCAGUACGGGUUGUGGGAGCAAGAGCCCGGAGAUGGAUUCUGAGACACGAAUCCAGGCCCUACGGGGCGCAGCAGGCGCGAAAACUCUACAAUGCAGGCAACUGCGAUAGGGGAACAUCGAGUGAUACUCAUCUUGGGUGUCUGUCCUCCCGUCUAAAAAACGGGAGUUAGCAAGGGCCGGGCAAGACCGGUGCCAGCCGCCGCGGUAAUACCGGCGGCUCGAGUGGUAGCCGAUAUUAUUGAGUCUAAAGGGUCCGUAGCCGGCUUUGCAAGUCUUUUGGGAAAUCCAGCGGCUUAACCGUUGGUCGUCCGGGAGAUACUACAUUGCUUGGGACUGGGAGAGGUAAGAGGUACUCAGGGGGUAGGAGUGAAAUCCUGUAAUCCUUUGGGGACCACCGGUGGCGAAGGCGUCUUACCAGAACAGGUCCGACGGUGAGGGACGAAAGCUAGGGGCACGAACCGGAUUAGAUACCCGGGUAGUCCUAGCCGUAAACGAUGCUCGCUAGGUGUCACAACAAUCGUGAAUUGUUGUGGUGCCGUAGGGAAGCCGUGAAGCGAGCCACUUGGGAAGUACGACCGCAAGGUUGAAACUUAAAGGAAUUGGCGGGGGAGCACAUACUGCUCAGUAACACGUAUAGGAAUUGGCGGGGGAGCACAUACGGCUCAGUAACACGUAUAUAAGGAAUUGGCGGGGGAGCAC
rnacentral:rRNA from 1 species